rnacentral:rRNA from 1 species
UACGUAGGGGGCGAGCGUUGUCCGGAGUUACUGGGCGUAAAGGGCGCGCAGGCGGUCUGGUAAGUUUGGAGUGACAGUGCUCGGCUUAACUGAGCAAGGCCUUCGAAAACUGCCAGACUUGAGCACUCAAGAGGGACAUAGAAUUCCGGGUGGAGUGGUGAAAUGCGUAGAUAUCCGGAGGAAUACCAAAGGCGAAGGCAGUGUCCUGGGGAGUGUCUGACGCUCAGGCGCGAAAGCUAGGGGAGCGAACAGG